CACAUAUUCCACAUAACAAAUAUAAUUGCGUAAUGCGUGAAACAAAUAUAUUAACAUAUACAAUAUGACACACCUCGAUCGAGAUCAAGGCAUCCUGGCCGUCACGUGAGAGUGACGUAGCCAUGUGCACAGUGCGGAAGCAAUAAUGAUAAGAAAUAUAUGAAUAAUUAAAAACCGAACUACUAUAGUGCACUACUAAACAAUCAGAGCAUAGAAAGUCUAGGUGCAGUCCAGUAGGACAAGUACUAAUUAUACAGUACCAUAAGAUGUCCUACAAUUAUUUUGAUAGGUCAGAACCGCCGAAAUCCUCAAGGCCACCGACAUCAAGCUUACCUAAAACCUGGAGGGGUGCAAAACAGAAAACGUGAGUGGGCAAAAAUAAAUGUUUUACAAAACCAUUUCAUUUAUCAACAUAUCUAACCCCUCACUGUAAACAUGUAUAAUUUUUCCCAGAAUCAAGAUAUAAGCAUAUACAUAAAUAUACAUGAAAUAUAUCCAC
rnacentral:lncRNA from 1 species